rnacentral:rRNA from 1 species
GGGCGCAGCAGGCGCGAAACCUUUGCAAUGUGCGAAAGCACGACAAGGUUAAUCCGAGUGUCUUCUGCUAAGGAAGUCUUUUGUUAGUCAUAGAACCACUGAUGAAUAAGGGGUGGGCAAGUUCUGGUGUCAGCCGCCGCGGUAAAACCAGCACCUCGAGUGGUCAGGAGGUUUAUUGGGCCUAAAGCAUCCGUAGCCGGUUGUUUAAGUUUUCGGUUAAAUCUAUGCGCUUAACGUAUAGGCUGCCGAAAAUACUGGACAGCUAGGGAGUGGGAGAGGUACACGGUACUCAAUAGGAAGGGGUAAAAUCCUUUGAUCUGUUGAUGACCACCUGUGGCGAAGGCGGUGUACCAGAACACGUUCGACGGUGAGGGAUGAAAGCUGGGGGAGCAAACCGGAUUAGAUACCCGGGUAGUCCCAGCUGUAAACGAUGCAAACUCGGUGAUGCAUUGGCUUGUGGCCAAUGCAGUGCCGCAGGGAAGCCGUUAAGUUUGCCGCCUGGGAAGUACGUACGCAAGUAUGAAACUUAAAGGAAUUGGCGGGGGAGCACCACAAGGGGUGAAGCCUGCGGUUCAAUUGGAUUCAACGCCGGAAAUC